rnacentral:lncRNA from 1 species
GUUGCAAGGUGGUGAAAACACACUUGGCACCUUUCUGCGUGAGAUCUGUCCUAGAGACAGUUUAUCACAUGGUAAACGAGCGUUGGCUCUGGGACUCAGUGACACUGCCUACGUGGCUGUGGUAAAAAGACUACAACACAGACAAGACCUUGGAACUGGACCUGCUAACUGGGGCCUCCAGAAGGGGAAGAAAGCCUUAACACAACACCUGGAAUCCAUCUGUGGGCAUCUGGGCUCAGACUUGCAGAGGACACCCUCCUUCUCCUCAUAAUUAACGAGGAUCUGUCGUGUCCUGGCCUCUCAGGGAUAUGGACAUGUCCUCUGCCAGGUGACAGCUGGGGAAUCUCCUAACGUCUUACAUUCUAUUAGGGGCACUUGAAGACAGUAUCUCAACUCAAAAGAGUGCCUCCCACCAUAGGAUUCCAGGCACUGGCUCAGAGGGACUCAACUCUGGCUGCAGUCAUGGUGAACUACAUUUCUGCAUUCUGGAAAAUCUGAUGAACUGGUGUCAGUAUUUAAACUGAUUUCCAUACCUUGAAGAAGUUACGAGGCUAUACAAGCUUUAAGAAUGCAGGAGUCUUGCCCAUCUCGUUCACCGCAGUAUCUCCAGCUCCUGGCACGGAGGCUGGCCCAUAAUCAGUUCCUGGCAGGCUGCCAAAGCCUUUCUAAGACAAGUUGCCUCUGUCUGUCCAUCUGUCCAUUUAGGAUUGGGGAAGGAGGAGGUGAGAUGACAGGGAGUAGAGCUGCAGCUUCAAGAAAAGUUGAACUCUCCUUGAUGACAGCAAAAUGUAGGGGAACAG